rnacentral:rRNA from 1 species
AGUCGGACGGGAUUGGAGAGCUUGCUUUCCAUGAGAGUGGCGCACGGGUGCGUAACACGUAUGUAACCUACCUUGUUCAGGGGGAUAGCCUCUCGAAAGAGAGAUUAAGACCGCAUAACAUCAUUGAGUAGCAUUACUUAAUGAUCAAAUAUUUAUAGGAACAAGAUGGGCAUGCGGAACAUUAGCUAGUUGGUAAGGUAAAGGCUUACCAAGGCUACGAUGUUUAGGGGAUCUGAGAGGAUGACCCCCCACACUGGUACUGAGACACGGACCAGACUCCUACGGGAGGCAGCAGUAAGGAAUAUUGGUCAAUGGGCGCAAGCCUGAACCAGCCAUGCCGCGUGCAGGAAGACGGCCCUACGGGUUGUAAACUGCUUUUGUACCGGAAUAAACCUUGAUACGUGUAUCGAGCUGAAUGUACGGUAAGAAUAAGGAUCGGCUAACUCCGUGCCAGCAGCCGCG